CGCACCUUGCGCUCCUUGGUAUUCCGAGGAGCAUGCCUGUUUGAGUCUCAUGAAAUUCUCAACCCACCCCGCUUUUGUGGGGUUCGGGCUUGGAUUUGGGGGUUGCUUUUUUUGCUUGCUGGUCAAACCUCAUCGAUCGGCUCCCCUUGAAGGCAUUAGCCCAGGACCUUUUUGCCUCCCGGUCAGUUUCACGGUGUGAUAGUCUAUCAACGCCGAUGUGGCUGGUGUCUGGUGUGGCAUAGUCACGGUCCGGCUCUCUAAAAGGACUUGAAUGUCCAUUUCAUCGAUCUGAGCUCAAAUCAGGUAGGACUACCCGCUGAACUUAA
rnacentral:misc_RNA from 1 species